GGUGCGACCGUGAUUGGUGCCGUAGGGAAGCCGUGAAGCGAGCCACCUGGGAAGUAUGGCCGCAAGGCUGAAACUUAAAGGAAUUGGCGGGGGAGCACUACAACGGGUGGAGCCUGCGGUUUAAUUGGAUUCAACGCCGGAAAUCUCACCGGGGGCGACAGCGAUAUGAAGGUCAGGCUGAAGACUUUACCGGAUUAGCUGACAGGGGUGCAUG
rnacentral:rRNA from 1 species